rnacentral:tRNA from 1 species
GGAUUGUGACUCAGUGGUAGAGUGCUUGCCUAGCACAUGUGAGGCACUGGGUUCGAUCCUCAGUACCA